GAGCGCAACCCUUAUCUUUAGUUACCAUCAUUAAGUUGGGGACUCUAAAGAUACUGCCCCGGUUAACGGGGAGGAAGGUGGGGAUGACGUCAAGUCCUCAUGGCCUUUAUGUCCAGGGCUACACACGUGCUACAAUGGGUUGUACAAAGGGUUGCGAACUCGCGAGAGUAAGCCAAUCCCAAAAAGCAACUCUUAGUUCGGAUUGGAGUCUGCAACUCGACUCCAUGAAGCUGGAAUCGCUAGUAAUCGUGGAUCAGCAUGCCACGGUGAAUACGUUCCCGGGCCUU
rnacentral:rRNA from 1 species